UAUAUACUAAACCCAAUCUCUAUAUUCCCCUAUUGUAGAAUAACUCCGUUUCUUCUGUAGAAGAUACAAUUUCCGGUUCGAGGUCUGCUCGCUUUAUCUGCAAUGUAUAGAAAAAGGGAAUCAACACCAGCAUAUCCUGCUGCAGCAUUUUCCAAGGCCAGAUUGUCAAUAGAAGAUUAAGGAAAUAAGCAGCAAGAUGAAAAUGACGAAAGAAGAGAAGAAUAACAAAGAGGAGGACAGAAGAGGAAGCAUCACAGGAAGCCAAGCAAGGCAUUGGCUGACAAAUGAUGGGGAAAAUUCUUAUUCUCAGCAGUUCUGGGGAAAGACAUCAGAGUAGGGCAGUAAAGCACAAUCCUGAAGGAUAUCUGGCAGUGUGAUUAUCUCAGCGCCUACUCCUCAGUAGAGCUUAUCAGGAAAGCAAUCAUUGAGCAAAUACAUACACCAAUGCAUGCUGCAUAGGAAAUGGCUCCCAAGCUGUAGAAGAUCUGCUUUUGUUGAACUGAGUAGUCCUAAGGAGGACAGAAGAAAAUACUACAUUAAGUCCUUUUGAAAAAUACUUGUAACUCAUGUUCAAAAUGGUCUUGUACAAUUAUGAUGAUUUAAAAAAAAAAAAAA